rnacentral:misc_RNA from 1 species
AACGCACAUUGCGCCCUUUGGCAUUCCGAGGGGCAUGCCCGUUCGAGCGUCAUUACUACCCUCAAGCCUGGCUUGGUAUUGGGCGUCGGGGAACCCCGCGCCUCGAUUUCGCCGGCUGGACGACCGCGAUCUCAGCGUUGUGACAUGACAAACCGCUGGCGAGAGCGGGCGGCCGCGCCGUCAAAACACUUUCGAAAGGUUGACCUCGGAUCGGGUAGGAAUACCCGCUGAACUUAA